GACGUAGGGCGCAAGCGUUGUCCGGAUUUAUUGGGCGUAAAGAGCUCGUAGGCGGUUCGUCGCGUCGGCUGUGAAAUCCCGAGGCUCAACCUCGGGUCUGCAGUCGAUACGGGCGGACUGGAGUUCGGCAGGGGAGACUGGAAUUCCUGGUGUAGCGGUGAAAUGCGCAGAUAUCAGGAGGAACACCGGUGGCGAAGGCGGGUCUCUGGGCCGAUACUGACGCUGAGGAGCGAAAGCGUGGGGAGCGAACAGG
rnacentral:rRNA from 1 species